UGCGCUUCGCUGGCGCGGAGUCUGUCCCACACGCGAGGGCGCGGCCACCGAGCGUCGGCCCCGGGGGCGUGUGUGCCGGGGGCGGGAGGUGCGUGGCGGGCUCAGGCCCGGUGCCUCCGAAUUGGGGACGCCUAGCUAGCGACCCUGCGCACGCUCCGGGAGCGCGGAUGUGGUGCCGGGCAUGGUGCCGGGCAAGGUGCUGGGCAAGUUGCGCCUGUUGGCUCAUUUACUCCUCUAACUCCUCUGCCACGUAGUAUGUAUGCCAAACAACAACUAGGAAAGACAACGAGGAUUUCUUUUUAAGUGGAAAAAAGAAAAGCAGAAUAUGAGGAAACAGAGACUGACCACAUUGCCCAAGGUCACACAGCUAAUAAAUUAGAAAAGCAAGAAUUUGAACCCAGGUGGCCUGACUCCAGAGCUCAUGGUUUUAGAGUGAAUGAAUGGUGAUGCCUUAGCCACACUAGCCAGGCAUGCUGGGAGUGAGGUCACGUCUGAUGCAGACAACCUUCCUGUGGGGAGUGGAGGACCUACCUACUUCCUGGAUCUUGCCCAGGCUUGCUCAGGUGUGGGGGUGCGACUGACCAUUGACCCUGAGACCAAUCACUGACCCUGACCUUGGAAUGCUGUCCCCCUCAUUGGAUGGAAUUUUCCCUUGAAAUUCUUGUUCUCCAAUAAAAGGCCACUCCCUGGU